AGACACUGUUCUGGAUAAGCAGCUGUUGUGUUACUUUGCUUCAGUGAUUUUUAUCAUUUAAACUUAAGAUCUAGGCUGUAUCUGUCAACAGUCUGUGACUUCCCAAAGGCUUUGUGCAGUCCUGCUGCUGCUCAUAGACUUGGAACCAUUUCAGAGCAGGUGAGGUGCAAUUACUGUGGAUGGUUUCUACUCUGGUGUACUAGAGGUGGUUGCUGUUUACAGUUGCAGUUCGAAGGAAAUCUUGCUCCUGCAGAUUUCAGGACUGUCAGGAAGGAUGAGGAGGCAGUCAUUGACAAAAUCAGUUAUAUUCAGAAGGCAACCAUGCCAGAAGGUGUCAACCACACUGGAACGCAGUGGAAGAAAAGGAGCUAAUAAUUAUAAGCACUCUCAUUAUUUAGAAAGUACGCUACUCAAAAUGAAUUCAGCUUUCUGAUGACAAGUGAUUUCUCUCACCCCAAGGAGCAUUUCAAAGCAUCCACACAACCAUCUGCAUGAACCCCAGGAGGUGAAGGUAUGGGACCCUCCUUCCAGCUGUGGUGCAGGUGGCUGCUAAAACUCAGGCAGCUAACGACUACAUGAAUCUAACAAUCUGGCAAGCAAGAAGGACUGGCUGACAAUCUAUCUGCAAUUUGUGCUUUAAGUGCAGUCUCUAGUUGUAUAUACUAAACCCUGGACUGAUGCCACAGUUGCAGAGCCAGAAGAGAGCAGUUGCUGCAGAUGAAGCUCCAUCCUCAUUCUGGUCAGCC
ensembl:lncRNA